UCCCUGAUGGUCCAGUGGUUAAGACUCCAUGUUUCCAGUGCAGGGGGCACAGGUUUGAUCCCUGGUCGGGGAG
rnacentral:tRNA from 1 species